CACAUACGGAAACUUUUCUGAGUUUAUAUCCUGGACUGACCUGACAGAUAUCUUCAGGGAGGAUUGCUGGUGCAAUGCUGGGGAUAAACACGGCUCCAGCAGCUUGCUCUGACUAAACAGGAAACAGCCGAAGCCAGGGCAACUCCGUGCCUUGUUCUUCUGCCAUGUGUCACCUUUACUGAGGAUAAAAGGUUCGAUGACUCGCAGCGAUGUCUCUGAAGAGACAACAGAGAAAGGCAAAUAAAGGAUGGGGAUUCACUAACCUUGCCUGACAAAGACUCCAAGCUCCAGUUCCCACUUCAUGAAGAAUCCAAGUCUUCAGUUCAGCUUCACUUCUGUUAGCACCACGGAGAAAUCUCAGACAAGACAGAUGCCUGCAGCCACCAGAAGCCUUAAAUUAAACCUAAAAAUAGAAAGCUACAGAAUUUAUAAAUAUUUUUGCAAAUCAACCUUUUAAAACUACCCUCCGUCUGUAGCUUUGAUAGUUAGCAUUGAAACCCAAGUAUAUUUCUGCAGAAGAGAAAGCUGACCAAGCAGCCCAAGAAAUUCUGCAGAGCUCCGCAAAUUGCAGGAGGCCUAGGGAAGGAAAUCACUGCAUGCCAAAUUUUUCCACUGAUUUCUAUUGUCUCCACUUAUCGUACGUUACACUAGCAAUUUGCCGUGGAGUGCUGUAUCUUCCACACAGUUCUUACCUGCCUAAUAGCCUGAUUAUAUCUUAUGACUUUGUAUUCUCAUUCAACAUAAUUUAUUCUUGACUUAGAAAAUAUGACUGUCUGCAGAGAAACAUCCAGCCCUUGUUCUCUUUCUUCACAAAUUAGUUUAAAGAAGGAUCGACCAGUGGUGUCGAAAGCCUGUAUUAGAUCUGCUAAGAUCUCUUCCUCUUAGGAUUUGAUUUCUGUUGCUGGAGGCUACCCUUGAUAUUUAUGUGGAAUGAAAUAUUGUUCAUCCCCUUCACAAAGAGAUGGUUGGUUCCAUUCACUACUUGCAUGAACCUCAGACAGUGUUUACAUAGUACGUAUUCAAAACGUGCCAGCUAUUUCUUACCAUCGUGUUGCCUCCCUGGCCGUGGGCUGGGCUUGUGUUUUAUCAGAGGGUGGCUGUUUACCUGGAGUCUCUUUUCUAUCUUUCUCUGUGCAAUCAUUUCCCAAAUUGCCUAAUUAAAUAUGGUUAUAAAGAGGAAGAAGUGGAGGAAAAAGAACUGCAGAAUUCCCCUGCAAUAAGUUCCUUCAGCUCUUCUUCCACAGACUUGUUCCUCUCUCCCUCAUACCUGGGGUUUGGAUACCAGCAUGUAACUCCUUACAAAACCCAGGGCUCCCUUCUCUGCUUUUCUGAUGCCAGCAUGUGGACAUCACUGUGGAGCAAGUCCCUGUGGACGUUUUCCAUGUAUACGUGAUGUCAGAGUAAACCUCUAGCCAGGGACUUCUCUCAUCUUUUGUCUGUCCCCUAAUCCCUUUAUUUCUGCUUUCACAUCAAUGAUCUGGCAGAUAGUCAGGGGACAUUUUUAAGAAAGUUGCAUUUUGCAGAAAGUUGCUACCACCAUAGUAAUUUCUGAUUCUAUGGGUGGUCUUUCCUGUUGAAACCUCUCUUAAGGUUGGUCUCUACUACCAAGGCUCUGUCAAGAAAGUCAAGCUAGCAAAAUCUUGACAAGCAUGAAGUUCGGAGUCUAAAAACUACUUUGCUGCCUGUGUUGCUGACGAGACUUCUCUAAUUGCCUAAGCCAUCCUGCAAAAGAUUUCCUUUGCUGCUAGAAAUUGUGCCAGCCCAGGUAAUUUCCUUUCUAAGCUAUUUUGGCAAAAUGCUGCCCAUGUACUGCUUUGCAGGCUAAACGGAUCCCUACAGGGGAUUUUUUUUGAACCAGGUGAAUUCUUUCUAUUGGCCUACUAUGAAUUUCUGUGGGAAUCUAACUUGGGUCACAGCAAAGCCUUUGGUUUAGCCUGCAGCAGUGGGAAGAUGAGAGGAAGAAGGCAAGAGGCAUCUCUACUGAACUUAAAUCACAGUCAGGGCAGACAAAAACGGCCUAGCACAUCUCAGUAUGCCUAAUCCAGCUAAGUAGCUCAGAUACAUAUAUCAGCCAUCGCUCGAGUGUGUGAACAUUGACAGUAAGUAACCUUCUUCUGCUCUGCAUUAAAGUCAUAAUGGACAAGACAUAUUAGGUAUUUUCUUAUGUCUUUGCAGCCCUUUGAAAAUGCAGGGCCAGAUACACAGCUGCUUUAGAUUAAUGCCAAUGCACCCAUUUACACCAGCUGACAGCCCAGUCCACAGUUCACUAAGUGCUAUUUAUUAUUUUAUUUUGUUUGCUAGAGUGACAAAAGAAAUGACAUUGAUACACAGGUCAAUUCAAUCCUGCUGACAUAGCCUCGAGGGGGUUGGUUUGGUUUGGUGGUUGUUGUUGUUUUGGUUUUUGUUGGUUUUGUUUUCCGUCUCCCAAGAGAAUCUCCUUUACAGCUCUAUUUUUUGUUAAUGUUUAUUUAAUAAGAUUGGCACAUUGGCAGUCUCAUAAGCUUGCUAUUUUAUAUAUCUCUCAAUUUCCUUAGCUUUAUUAAUCAUCAUGGUACUUGAAGUUGCUAGCAUGAAAAAUGCACUGUAAGAAUAAAUAAUCAUUAUUAUCAAAGUGCUUUCAUAAAAAUGAUCUGUAGGAUUAAAUCCUUAUUACAGCAGCAUUAUUAGUCAUGAUUAUUAUUAUUAUUACAUAUUAAUUAGUAGUGCUGAGAUAGCACAGCUUAACAUGCUUUCAGAGUUAUCUUUACCAAAGUCAGUUAAAUAUGAAGGUUUAAAAUUCCGAUAGAUUUAGUGGUUUAGGACAAGGGAGUGGGA